UCGAGCGAGAGAGUUUCUUCGGAAACAAUCUAGCGGCGGACGGGUGAGUAACACGUGGGCAACCUGCCUUACAGAGGGGGAUAGCCUCCCGAAAGGGAGAUUAAUACCGCAUAAUAUAUUUUGAUCGCAUGAUUAGAGUAUUAAAGGAGUAAUCCGCUGUAAGAUGGGCCCGCGGCGCAUUAGCUAGUUGGUGAGGUAACGGCUCACCAAGGCAACGAUGCGUAGCCGACCUGAGAGGGUGAUCGGCCACAUUGGAACUGAGACACGGUCCAGACUCCUACGGGAGGCAGCAGUGGGGAAUAUUGCACAAUGGGGGAAACCCUGAUGCAGCAACGCCGCGUGAGUGAUGAAGGUCUUCGGAUUGUAAAGCUCUGUCUUUUGGGACGAUAAUGACGGUACCAAAGGAGGAAGCCACGGCUAACUACGUGCCAGCAGCCGCGGUAAUACGUAGGUGGCAAGCGUUGUCCGGAUUUACCGGGCGUAAAGGAUGCGUAGGUGGAUACUUAAGUCAGAUGUGAAAUCCCCGGGCUUAACUUGGGGGCUGCAUUUGAAACUGGGUAUCUGGAGUGCAGGAGAGGAAAGCGGAAUUCCUAGUGUAGCGGUGAAAUGCGUAGAGAUUAGGAAGAACACCAGUGGCGAAGGCGGCUUUCUGGACUGUAACUGACACUGAGGCAUGAAAGCGUGGGGAGCAAACAGGAUUAGAUACCCUGGUAGUCCACGCCGUAAACGAUGAGUACUAGGUGUAGGAGGUAUCGACCCCUUCUGUGCCGCAGUUAACACAAUAAGUACUCCGCCUGGGAAGUACGGUCGCA
rnacentral:rRNA from 1 species